rnacentral:rRNA from 1 species
CUCAAUGAAAUUCAAUAGCCGCAAUAUUUGUGCUAAGGUAGCAUAAUCACUUGCCUUUUAAUUAAAGGCUAGAACGAAAGAUUCAACAUUUCUAUUUCUCUCUUACAUAUAAUUAUUUAAUUUAUUUUAAAUGUUAAAAAACAUUUAUUAAUAAAGAAGACGAUAAGACCCUAUUGAACUUAACUAAAGUUAAACUGGGGUAGUUAAUUAAAUACAAUUUUAAUUUAAAUUCUAAAAAUAACCUAAUAUAAUUAAAACAUCAAGUUACCAUAGGGAUAACAGCGUAAUAAUUUUCUCAAGCUCUUAUUCCAAAAAAUGUUUGCGACCUCGAUGUUGAAUUAAUAAUCUCUUAAAUGCAAUAAUUUAAUAAGAAAGUCUGUUCGACUU